rnacentral:rRNA from 1 species
CCUACGGGGGGCUGCAGUGGGGAAUAUUGGACAAUGGGGGGAACCCUGAUCCAGCCAUGCCGCGUGUGUGAAGAAGGCCCUCGGGUUGUAAAGCACUUUCAGUGAGGAAGAACGCCUGGUGGUUAAUACCCAUCAGGAAAGACAUCACUCACAGAAGAAGCACCGGCUAACUCCGUGCCAGCAGCCGCGGUAAUACGGAGGGUGCGAGCGUUAAUCGGAAUUACUGGGCGUAAAGCGCGCGUAGGUGGCUUGAUAAGCCGGUUGUGAAAGCCCCGGGCUCAACCUGGGAACGGCAUCCGGAACUGUCAAGCUAGAGUGCAUGAGAGGAAGGUAGAAUUCCCGGUGUAGCGGUGAAAUGCGUAGAGAUCGGGAGGAAUACCAGUGGCGAAGGCGGCCUUCUGGACUGACACUGACACUGAGGUGCGAAAGCGUGGGUAGCAAACAGGAUUAGAUACCCGAGUAGUC